rnacentral:rRNA from 1 species
UACGUAGGGUGCGAGCGUUGUCCGGAAUUAUUGGGCGUAAAGAGCUCGUAGGCGGUGUGUCACGUCGUUCGUGAAAACCUGCAGCUUAACUGUGGGCGUGCGGUCGAUACGGGCAUCACUGGAGUUCGGCAGGGGAGACUGGAAUUCCUGGUGUAGCGGUGAAAUGCGCAGAUAUCGUAAGGAAGACCAGUGGCGAAGGCGGGUCUCUGGACAGUUCCUGACGCUGAGGCACGAAGGCCAGGGGAGCAAACGGG